rnacentral:rRNA from 1 species
UACGUAGGGACCAAGCGUUGUUCGGAUUUACUGGGCGUAAAGGGCGCGUAGGCGGCUUGACAAGUCACUUGUGAAAUCUCCGGGCUUAACUCGGAACGGCCAAGUGAAACUGUUGAGCUAGAGUGUAGAAGGGGCAAUCGGAAUUCUUGGUGUAGCGGUGAAAUGCGUAGAUAUCAAGAGGAACACCAGUGGCGAAGGCGGCUCACUGGACCGGAACUGACGCUGAGGCGCGAAAGCGUGGGGAGCAAACGGG